CUCAAUUUGUCGUCCGCGUGCCUCUGGAGGUACCGCGAUUGCGUCAGACAAUCCAUAUGGAGCCGCCGACCACAUUUUCAGAUCAAACAUAAAAUUGGCUUUCAGCCCCCUACGUUGCGUCUGAGUAGUGCCAGCACACAGCCGACACGCAGGAAUGUUGACCAUAAAAAGAGUUUGUUGGCUUCCCAGGCAAACACACCAGCAGGAAUGCUGUGAUACAAAAUCAGUUUUCCCAAGGCAAAGAAGACGGGAUAUGCUGAGAAGCCUGUGACAACAGACCAAACAUACUGCUACGUAGAAGGGCUCCUGGAUCUCCUCCCCAGCGAGGUCACCCUUGAUCCAGCACCGUAUGUGGGGAAGCUGUGCGAGCUGCCCAUCACAGGACGCCUGUCUGCCCAGUGUGAGAGGCCUGACAAGGAGGAGGCCACAGCUGGAUUUGUCUCCUGCUUUCAUCUUGGGGAAGACUGAAGCCAAGUGGGUGACUGAAUUCAAGUAAGUGACUAAAGUCUGCUUGAUUGAUGCGGGGUACCUGGGUCUCCCUCCUCUGCAGCUCCUCUCACCAUCAAUCUCUGUAGUUGGCUGCAAUACCUAAAGUCUGAGUAAUUCACUUUUACUUGAUAUCAAAUAUUGUUACUUUGUAUUGUUAUUUUCAAGCAUUCUGAUGGGAGAUGAGUGGCUCAAAAUGGCUUUUUUUUUGUCAUAUGAUGUCUCACCAUUAUUUCUCAUGAGUGUUCAUGUUGAUAAAUAUUUUGUCUAUGCUGACCUAAUGUAAAUGAUCAAAUAAAUGUCCCAUAAAUACAUAAUUCUGAACAUAUUGUCAUUGAUGAUGCUAAUGCAGAGGCACCAAUACAUUUUCUAGUACACUUAUGUUAUGCUGUUUUCAUGUAUAUUCCCAUAUGUCUGUCUAAGCUGACUCAGAGUGUAUUCAUUAUGGUGAAG
ensembl:lncRNA